GACGAACGCUGGCGGCGCGCCUAACACAUGCAAGUCGAACGAGCGAGAGAGAGCUUGCUUUCUCGAGCGAGUGGCGAACGGGUGAGUAACGCGUGAGGAACCUGCCUCAAAGAGGGGGACAACAGUUGGAAACGACUGCUAAUACCGCAUAAGCCCACGACCCGGCAUCGGGUAGAGGGAAAAGGAGCAAUCCGCUUUGAGAUGGCCUCGCGUCCGAUUAGCUAGUUGGUGAGGUAACGGCCCACCAAGGCGACGAUCGGUAGCCGGACUGAGAGGUUGAACGGCCACAUUGGGGCUGAGACACGGCCCAGACUCCUACGGGAGGCAGCAGUGGGGAAUAUUGCACAAUGGGGGAAACCCUGAUGCAGCGACGCCGCGUGGAGGAAGAAGGUCUUCGGAUUGUAAACUCCUGUUGUUGAGGAAGAUAAUGACGGUACUCAACAAGGAAGUGACGGCUAACUACGUG
rnacentral:rRNA from 1 species